rnacentral:rRNA from 1 species
AGCAGCCGCGGUGAUUCCAGCUCCAAUAGCGUAUAUUAAAGUUGCUGCAGUUAAAAGCUCGUAGUUGAAUUUCGGGACUAAUAUGUCGGUCGUGCCUCGGUACGUACUGGUUUUAUUGGUUUCUCCUUUCUGAAGAACCAUGAUGUCAUUUAUUUGGUGUCGUGGGGAAUCAGGACUGUUACUUUGAAAAAUUAGAGUGUUUAAAGCAGGCUCACGCUUGAAUACAUUAGCAUGGAAUAAUGAAAUAGGACGUUUGAUUCUAUUUUGUUGGUUUCUAGGAUCGACGUAAUGAUUAAUAGGGAUAGUUGGGGGCAUUAGUAUUCAAUUGUCAGAGGUGAAAUUCUUGGAUUUAUUGAAGACUAACUACUGCGAAAGCAUUUGCCAAGGAUGUUUUCAUUAAUCAAGAACGAAGUUA